rnacentral:misc_RNA from 1 species
GAUGAAGAACGUAGCGAAAUGCGAUAAGUAAUGCGAAUUGCAGAAUUCAGUGAAUCAUCGAAUCUUUGAACGCACAUUGCGCCCGCCAGUACUCUGGCGGGCAUGUCUGUCUGAGCGUCAUUUCAACCCUCGCGCCCGGCUUCUGUCGGGGGCGGUGUUGGGGAUCGGCCUCCCGUCUUCCGGGCGGCCGGCCCCUAAAUGGAGUGGCGACCGCGCCGUAGCCUCCUCUGCGUAGUAGUGAAACACUCGCGGGCGGAGAGCGGUGCGGCCCGCCGUAAAACCCCCAACUCUUCUAAGGUUGACCUCAGAUCAGGUAGGAAUACCCGCUGAACUUAAGCAUAUCAAUAAGCGGAGGA